rnacentral:rRNA from 10 species
GACUCUCGGCAACGGAUAUCUCGGCUCUCACAUCGAUGAAGAACGUAGCGAAAUGCGAUACUUGGUGUGAAUUGCAGAAUCCCGUGAACCAUCGAGUCUUUGAACGCAAGUUGCGCCCCAAGCCUUCUGGCCGAGGGCACGUCUGCCUGGGUGUCA